GUCCAGACGGCGUCGCCAGCUGCCCAGGCAGUUCCUAUCCCUUUCGGAGCUCCAGCCUGCCCCUCCUGACGCUCUCAGAGUCUGGCCUUCUGCUGGGCCCCGGGUCUCUCACUGGCAGAAUGGAGUUCUCGGAGCUGAUCCAUACGGGCUGAGCCCAAGCAGAGUUUCUACGGGGCCCGGAGGCGCCCCCGCUUCGCGGCACGGUGUGAGUCACCGUCCACCACCUGCUCCUGUCGCCAGGGCCCGCGUCCUCUCCGGACCUGUGGCUGCUGCUGUUGCGUAGCGUCGACUCCUUCGAGAAGCAGUGAGACGUGGCGGGGUGGGGGAGGGUCCCCGGGGUUGGGGAGCGCGCGGCUUGGCGGAGUAGGGGGCACGGCCAGCGCAGUCAGAGCUGGCGCCCUCCUGCGUAAGCCCAAUCCGGGAAACUCGUUGCCCCUCUCCUGGGAAAGGAACGUCCCUCCCCAGGGUUGCGAGUGACUCGGGCACCAUCACCCUGUGCUGUAAAGACCUGCGAGUGCUGCAGCUGGAAAUAGAGGGCGCGGAAGCGACGCUGGGCAUCGCCCGCUCCAUCGAGACCAACGCGUGGCGGCUGAGCGAGGUGAACGAGGACUUCAGCUUGUGCCCCAGAUACCCCCGUGCGGUGAUCGUGCCAUACUUGGUGGACGAUGAUGCCCUGGCGCGCAGCGCCCGCUUCCGUCAGGGAGGUCGCUUCCCGGUGCUCAGCUACCACCCGGCUCCCAGCGGCAGAGGGAGCGCGCCCUCCCCACGCUCCGCCCCUGGGUGGCUGCGUCCUUUCUGGGCCUUUUCUUUUUGGCCCGGUCAAUUCGCGGCGUAGCCGCUGCCCCAACUCCUGCCCCAUUCUGGUCCCGCCCCUCUCCCGCCUUUUCGCUGGGAAGGGUAUCACCUUUCUCUGGCCCCGCCCCUGACGGUUCCGGGCCCCGCGAAGCUUAGUCCCUUCUUUGUCAAGCCAGGACCCGCCCACGGUCUAUUCAUAGGGUCCCAAACCACUUUGGCCACAACACCCCCAGACUGGUCCGAAGCCUCGUGAGUUCGCCCUGGUCGUUGCACUCCAGCCUGUCGCUGUGCAGACCUGGCUUAGAGGACCCCUAAGGCUGAGGGGUCACUUCCAGAACUGAGUCCGGUCCGCAGGUUCUGCUACGCUCCAGCCAGCCCCUAACUGGUCCCCAGAAGCGGCGCUGCUACAGGGACCAGGAGCUGCUGCGAACUGCGCUGGCGGGGGCUCGUCCUUGGGCGCGGGGCUUCAUCAUGGACACGCUCUCGGCCCAGGCCGCGAAACAAGCCCGCGUGACUGGCGGAGGCACAGAGACCAAGGCCGCUUAACCUGGCUGGUUGCACUGGUCCCUGGAGAGCACUGAGCACAGGGGCUGCCACAGUGGCCGGCUCAGACAUGGCAGAGAUCAGCAGAGAAUGGGCAAUCAGGCUCCCCUGAGAUGAGCAGCAGCGCAGAGGAGGUGCCCCUCUCUUACUACACCAACUUCAGGAUUCUGUGUCUCCCUCAUUGGUCUUGAGCACUUGCUCCCUGGCUGUACUUGGCAAGGGCUUGAGCUGGAAAAGAUGACCAGACUCCCACCGCCCAGAGGGCGUCCCCUGCAGGAGAGCUUCAUGCGCCUGGUGGAGGCCUGUGGGGACUCGGAGCAAAGCAUGGACAACUGGCUGAGUCGGCUGGACGGCUGCCGCUGACUGUAACAUGUAAAGCAGGCACUGAGCACCACCUGCCUGGCAGUCCAGGGCAUGGAGAGGCACAGACAGCACCCUGCUUGUGACUUCACUGGCCCAACUCAUCCUGGACCCCUUGAGCAAGACCAUGGCUGGAUUCCAGGAACUGGUGGAGUGGAAGUGGAUCCAGGAAAAUGCCGUGUGAAGGGAGGACUCAGAUGCACUCCCUGUGGUCUGGGCUCAACCAGCCAAAAGAGCAACAAAGACUCCAGAACCCACUCUACCUCCUCAAUCCCUUGGCCAUCUGUGGAGCCCCAGAGCCUGCGGCUGUGGCAAGGCCUGUUUCUGCGCUGGACCUGCUCACCUGAGCCUGCAGAAGCUGCAUGGGGGAAGAGUGUGGCAAAUAGUGACAGGAAGGGAGAAGACAGAAGCCUCUCAGCCAACUGCUUCAGCCGAGCCCCUAUUCUAAGCACUGGCUCCUUGGAUAGCAGCUGAGAUGUUCCUGAAACCUCUGCAGGCCCCUUAGGACCUUUACACCUUGGAUGAGGGUGCCUGCAACCCAGGUUAGCCAAAAGUACUGAGGGUCUUAAGUUUGAAGUGUCCAAAGUAUAGGGAGGUCUCAAUAAUAAAAGUCUCCAUGAUCAGCA